ensembl:lncRNA
GGACCACAACAAGGAAAAGGGAUUUAUAGCCAAGGAGGAGAUUGGAGUGGAGGCGUCUGUGGGUGGAAGAUGACUAGGAUGGUCAGGCGAUUCUUACUAAGCUGACCUAACAGGACUCUUGCUGAAAGGAGGCCGGCCUGGGGCCUGAGACACCCUGGGGACUGUGGGGGAUGAGGGAUCUGAUCAGAUAUCAAGGACAUCAGUGAUUCCCACAGCUGUAUCCCCUGCUCCUAGAACAGCACCGGGAACCAAGGAGAUGGUCCAUAAAUAUUUGUGAACUUCCUGACUGAAUACAGGAAGCCUUCCAAGACGCCCGGCGAGGUCAGCUCCCCACCCGGUGGACCCCCGAACCCCUGUGCUUCCCUUGGACACAGCACUGACCCCACCCCGCUGUGGGGCCAUUCCCUUUGUAAGUGUCUGACUCCUGUCCCCUCCCCCAGGCUCUGAGCUUCUUGAGGGGGAGCCCUGUCUGGUAGAGAUGCCUGGUACCCCGUGUUGGAACCCCGCCCAUCUCCUCGUGGCCCUCCCUCCCCAAGGAAGCUUCCAGCUGCAAGCUCCUGCCACCCUCCGCUCAGCCAGCUCUAAGCAGACCUCGGGGAUGCCCUGGAAGCAGCCCUCGGCCAAUGGCCGAUGAGAGUUGAAGGACCAACACCUCAGUUCCCUCCCGCCCCCUCCCUGUGGCAUGAUGCUUCUCCUGGAGGACACAGCGGGAUUGAGGCCCACCUGGUGGAGUAGAACCUGCCCACAGACUUCCCGCGGCCCCUGCCCGCUCCCCACCUAACACUCCCGGCUGCAUUCAAAUCCUGCUCUCUGGGUCGGCUUCUGGGAGAACCCAUCUAACACAGCACCUAAGCUGCUAGAGCACAGUAGAAAUGAACUUGUCGUUCAAAUGUGGGUCAUGAGUUAAGAAAAUGUGUCAGUCUGUGAAGGUGGUUAACUUUGGAGGAGUUUCUGUGUUUAGCCAGGCAUGGGGAAAGGGUACCACUUUAGCCUGUCUUCCUUCCUUCCUUCAUUCAGUAAACACUGUUGAGGACGCACCGGGCGGCAUGCUGCUUGGGCAGUAGAGAGCCUACCAUCUCUGGCAGAUGGGAGAUGCACGUCCCCAGCGAUGUGGCCGCUGGCAUGAGCCGGGGAGUGUCUGUCUGACUUUCCCAGGGCUCAGUGAAUUAGCCCUAAAGGGUGGUUGCUCAAGUCUUCGGUGCUGGCUCCACGCUCUCCCGGCACUGCCAGUGGGCACAGUUCUGUUCCCCAGGAGCCAGAACCCUUGUAGGGAACGCAUGUAUGACAGAGCACACCCUGGAUCCUGUUUUGGGGGCAGAGCAAAUCCAAGAAGGAUCUCAUCCCUGGGGACCAGCAGCCGAGGCUGGGGUUCCGAGGCCUGGGCGCAGCAGGACAUCUGUUUAUUCAGACACACAGGCGUGAACCACAAGAAUGGAUGAACACAAUGUGGUGGAUACUGAGGGCGAGGAGAAAUAUCUUUUUCCUCUACGCUUUUAAGUUCUCGACUGGGUCCCAGGUUUAACAAAAGACAGAUGAACGAGAAAGGCAUAGAAAUUUGUUAAUGUAAGUUUUGUGUGACAUGAGACCCUGCAUAUCCUUAUGAAGGCCUGAAGAAAAGGUUCAACCUGUGUUUUGACGCUGGUUUGAAGAGUG